UACGAAGGGGGCUAGCGUUAUUCGGAAUCACUGGGCUUAAAGGGUGCGUAGGCGGCUGCCUAAGUCAGGUGUGAAAUCUCCCGGCUCAACCGGGAAACUGCGCUUGAUACUGGGCGGCUCGAGUGAGGUAGGGGUGUGUGGAACUUCCGGUGGAGCGGUGAAAUGCGCAGAUAUCAGGAGGAACACCGGUGGCGAAGGCGGGUCUCUGGGCAACAACUGACGCUGAGGAGCGAAAGCGUGGGGAGCGAACAGG
rnacentral:rRNA from 1 species